rnacentral:rRNA from 1 species
GUGCCAGCAACCGCGGUUAUACAAAGGAUACAAAUAAAUAUUAUUAGUAAAAGUUAAAUUAUUUUAUUGAAAAUAAAUAUAAUUUUAUUAGGUGAAAUUUUAAAAUUAUUAUAUUUUUAUUAUGAAGUUAAUUGAAGCUUAAAAAUUUUAGAUUUAAACUAGGAUUAGAUACCCUAUUAUUUAAAAUGUAAUUAAUUUACUAGAGUAGUAAUAGUUAUGUUCUUGAAACUUAAAAAAUUUGGCGGUAUUUUAGUCUAUUCAGAGGAACCUGUUCUAUAAUCGAUAAUCCACGUUGGACCUUACUUAAUUUUGUUUUUCAGUUUAUAUACCGCCGUUAUUAGAAUAUUUUAUAAGAAAAAAUAAUUUUCAAUAUUUUUAAUAAAAAUUAAUGUCAGGUCAAGGUGUAGCUUAUAAUUAAGUAAGUAAUGGGUUACAAUAAAUUUAUUUAUGUGAAUUUAGUAUUGAAAUAUAUUAAUGAAGAUGGAUUUGAUAGUAAAAUUUUAUAGAUUAAAAAUUUGAUUUUAGCUCUAAAAUAUGUACACAUCGCCCGUCGCUCUUAUUAUUAAGAUAAGAUAAGUCGUAACAUAGUAGAUGUACUGGAAAGUGUAUCUAGAAUGA